CAAUGACUCUCGGCAACGGAUAUCUCGGCUCUUGCAUCGAUGAAGAACGUAGCAAAAUGCGAUACUUGGUGUAAAUUGCAGAAUCCCGUAAACCAUCGAGUCUUUAAACGCAAGUUGCGCCCGAAGCCAUUAGGCCGAGGGCACGCCUGCCUGGGUGUCACACAUCGUUU
rnacentral:rRNA from 1 species